rnacentral:rRNA from 1 species
GAUGAACGCUGGCGGCGCGCCUAACACAUGCAAGUCGAACGAUUAAAGCACCUUCGGGUGUGUAUAAAGUGGCGAACGGCUGAGUAACACGUGGGCAACCUGCCCCUCUCAUUGGGAUAGCCACGGGAAACCGUGGAUAAUACCGAAUACUUCGGGACUUCCGCAUGGAAGACUCGAGAAAGCUCCGGCGGAGAGGGAUGGGCCCGCGGCCUGUUAGCUUGUAGGUGGGGUAAUGGCCUACCAAGGCAAUGAUGGGUAGCUGGGUUGAGAGACCGACCAGCCAGAUUGGGACUGAGACACGGCCCAGACUCCUACGGGAGGCAGCAGUGGGGAAUCUUGCACAAUGGGCGAAAGCCUGAUGCAGCGACGCCGCGUGCGGGAUGAAGGCCUUCGGGUUGUAAACCGCUUUCAGCAGGGACGAGGCGAAAGUGACGGUACCUGCAGAAGAAGCCCCGGCUAACUACGUG